rnacentral:rRNA from 1 species
AAUGAACGCUGGCGGCGCGCCUAAUACAUGCAAGUCGAGCGAGAAGACGUAGCAAUACGUUUGUAAAGCGGCGAACGGGUGAGGAAUACAUGGGUAACCUACCCUCGAGUGGGGAAGUAACUAGCCGAAAGGUUAGCUAAUACCGCGUACGCUCCUUGGACUUUGGUUUCAGGGAGGGAAAGACGAUACCGUGGGUAGUCGCGCUCUUGGCUGGGCGUCAUGUCCUAUCAGCUUGUUGGUGAGGUAACGGCUCACCAAGGCUUCGACGGGUAGGCUGGUCUGAGAGGACGGAUCAGCCACACUGG